GAUAUACGGAAGGCAAUUGAUAUUUAUGCUCGGAAAAGUGUUCAAAACUAAAAAGUGAAAGUAAACUCGUUAUAACCCAACACAGAAAGGAACCAUCAGAACUCAGCCAGAGAAAAACCCUAACCGAGCUGCCCUCUGCUGUUGAAUUCUCUCUGUCUCCGUGGACAUAAACAUGAAGAAUUGUUUUGACUCCGGCAAGAAAACCUUGAGAGUGAAGAGAAAAGGAAAGAAUACCAUGGCGCCAAGAAAGGAAAGUGAACUGAGAGUUUCCCAGCAGAAUCAGCAUAAAUCUGAGACCGAUGGAAACAAGAAAAUAUUGAAGAAGCGGAAAAGUUGGGAAUCAAAGGUAGCAGAUCUGAAGAAAGAACUACUGGAAUUGCAAAACAAUCUGGGAGAAUUGGACCAAAACCUUGCCCAUAUCAGAAAUGAUACUUCCAAGGCAAAAGCAUUAACUGAUCAGAACCAGAUUUACGAGAAUUAUAUAUUUGCUCUUUUCUUACGCUGAAACUAAGGAGAGGCUGGGGCACGGUGGUUCUGAUUGAUUGCAGGUGAAUUUUAAAAUUCUUACUUUUAACUGUAUCUGAUUCAAUAAGUGCGCUUAAACGUCUUAUCUCGUUUCAUUUUCUGCGCCGAAUUGCAUAAUGUAAAGGCAUUGGAACUUUACUUUUUCCCCAUUUUGGGUAUUUACCCUAGUAAACUACGUGCAACUUAAUUUUUCUUAAUUUUAAUUUUUUAUUAGCUUGUUUUAUUGUGUAUGAUCCAUUAGGUUCCUUAAAUAUUGGCAAUAAAUAUGAGUAUUGUAAUCUUCUACUAUGUUUUGGAUUAGAUGAAUCGAAACUAUUUUGACUUCAUAAUUAAUUCUCUAAUUAAUCAAUCUUACAUUUAUAGAGCAUGACCAAUACUAAUUAUAUUGUCAUGGCCCACAAUUGUUAAGGAAUGUCAAUGUGUUUUGACAAACCUAUACGUGCUUAGUCUUGCAAUAUAACUAAUAUCCUUUCAUCACAUAAUAUCUUGAUUAUAACAUUGAGCAUUGAUUAGGGCCUAUUCAAUUUUUGUUCAACCAUAUUAAGUCUUGGCUUUGAUAUUAACUCUCAGAAUAUGCUUUAGAUCUAUUUUAAAAGCUCAUUCCACUUUGACCAAAGAUUUAUUGAGUUAAUUUAAUCAAGACUAAGUGAGAUAUUCACUUGAUCACACAAAAUGAUGAAUUUUAUAGUGAUUACUUCAAGUAUUUUCACUUGCUUCAUGUUACACUCAACAAUACCCUACUAAGGCAUCCAUGAUUAAGUCCAUGUAAAGUGAAGUUAAAGUAUAAUAUUCAUCAUAUAAGAUCAUAAGUAAUUUCAAGUCAAAUGAUCACUUAUACAACUAUUAUAUGAGAAUAUUACUAUAAACACUAUGUGAACUACCAUACGGCAUUCUCAUUACGGGUCAUGUUCAUUGAACUUGUUCUUGUAAUAAGCACUCACAUGUUAGUUCAACUUUUUUCAAAUUUCAACCUAUAAGAUUGGAUGCUUAUUUUAUAAGCAAAAGUAUAAUCAUGUACCAAUCUCAACACCUUUUAUCAAUACCCUUAUAUUGCUAAAGCAUCAAUUAGGAACAUUCACGAAUAUAACUUUUACAUAAUGAUGAUCUCAUGAUUACAAUCUCAUUGUAAUUCACUUAGUUACUUUUAGUACUUUAUCAUGUAAUCAUAAGCAAUAGCAAUAUAUAAGCUCAAUGAUAAACAAAACAAGACAUUAUAAUUAUCAAAUAAAGUAAUAUGACAAUGUAUUCUCCUAAAGCGAAUUUGGCUUUUAAGACAUAUAGCAACAGCUUAAACACGAGUCAUGCAUAGCAAAAACAAAAUCAUCAACAUAAUUUGAACAAACAAAAUUGAAACCUCAAAGGAUCACUUGAUAACAUUGCUUGAAGCUAAAAACAAUUUAUAUAAUCAUUCAUAUGAUAAAUCAAAAAUUUUCUUUCCUUAUUGGCCGAACCCUUAGAGAGAAACUAUUAUUCUUUAUUUUUAUCAUGUGUACUUAGGAAGAAAAAGUGAAAGGAAAAACCAAAUAACCUUGUUUACAUGUAAAGUGCUGCUUACAUGGUUUUAUAACCCUUGUCAUGCCACAACCUUAUCUUGGAAUUACCAUAAUUCCAAAUUUAGCCUAAUAAUUUUAAUUGAACACUUCAAUUAAGUCAUUCACUUAACUUUUAUUUAAUUAAGUCUUACUUAAUUGGAUUCUAAUUUUAAUCCAACAAUGUGAUUUAAUGUGUUAAUAUAUUAUGAUAAAAAUAUUAUGCUACUAUUAUAUGCCAAGGUAAUGUAUUAUUUGUCAAAGAAUGAGAACUUUGAUGAGAUGAUAUCCCCUCAAUACAUGUUUGAAUAUUUAAUGAGACCUUGGUUACUUUGCUUGAGCUAUCAUUCCAUUGUUGUCACAAUAAAUUAUUGUAGGAUCAACAAUUUUAUAAAUAACAUUUAGUUCAACUAUGAUCUUCUUGAUCCAAGCUGCUUUUUUUACGACCUUAGAUACAGUUAUAUAUUCAGCCUCGAUUGUAGAAUCGACAAUUGUACACUAUUUGAAACUUUUCAACUUAUUGCUACGCCAUUUAUAGUAAAAACAUAGCUACUUUGAGAUUUGCUAUCUUUUUUGUCUGAUUGAAAGCUUGUAUCACAUAACUCUAAACUUAGGGUUUGGCUCCACUAUAGACAAGACAUAUCCCCAAUUCUUCUUAAGUACUGAAGGAUCGCUUUUACAACCUUCAUAGUGAGAUUCACCUAGAUUUGUUUGAUAUUUACUUAUUAUGCUUAAGGCGUAAGGGACAUCAAGGCUUUAUUUAAAGCAUUAUGUGAAAUAUGCACAAACUAACAAGCUAAAGCUCAAUCAAUUUAAUGUAAAUUUGUGGGAUAUCCAAAGGAAUAAAUUGGAUAUUACUUCUACAAUUUUGAGGAACAAAAGGUGUUUGUUUCCAUUAUGAAAUUUUACUUAAAAAAAAAAAUUAUACUAGAAGAAAGCAAUAGGAAUAAAGUAAAAUGUGAAAAAGUUCAAGAAACAUAAAUUGACACAAGAAUAAAACUUGAGUUGAAGGCAAGCAUAUCAGAUACACAGCUAAAAGCUCAAACUGAACAAGAAUUAUGUAAAUCAAGUAAAAUUCGUUAAGUUUCGAAAAGAUGGAUUUUUCAUAGAUAAGAAUGAAUUGAUCAUAAAUGAUGAUUCUACUUUUUAUCAAGAAGUAAUGUUAGAUAUUGAUUAUGAGAAAAUGCAUGAACCAUGAAAUCCAAAAUGAAAUCCAUGUAUGCAUACCAAGUUUGGCCUUUGGUGUAACCACCCAAAAUGAUAAAACUCAUAGGGUGUAAAUGGGUUUUCAAUAAGAAAACCAACAUGGAGUGCAAUAUACAAACAUACAAAGCCAUGCUAGUUGCAAAAAGAUAUAAUAAAAAACAAUGAGUUAAUUUUAGUGAAACCCUUUCACCCGUAGCCAUGAUAAAAUCCAUUAAGAUUUUGCUUGGGGUAACUAUAUACCAUGACUAUAAGAUAUGACAAAUGGAUGUCAAAAUUGCAUCUUUUCAUAGGAAUUUGCACGAAAAAAUGUACAUGUUGAAUCCAAAAAGAAUACUAACAAGGUGUGCAAGCUUCAAAGGUCUAUCUAUAGACUCAGGUAAGCAUCAAGGAAUUGGAACAUAUGUUUUUAUGAGGCAAUUACAGAAUUUGGUUUCAUAAAAAACAUAGAGGAAACUUGUGCAUACAAGAAAACUAGUAGGAGUGCAAUCAUUUUUAUAAUGCUAUAUAUAGAGGACAUAUUGCUUAUAGGAAAUGAUAUAUUCAUGUUACAAUCUACAAAGAUUUGGUUAUCAUAGAAGUUUUGCAUAAAGGAUUUGUGAGAAGCAAUAUACAUAUUAGAAUAAAAGUCUAUGCUAAAAAGAUUUAACAUGAAAUAUUCCAAAAAGAGAUUCUUACCAAUGUUGCAUGGCAUAAAUCUUUCUAAAGAAAUGUGUCCUAAAACAUCAAUUGAGAAAGAUUACAUGGGUAAAGUUCCAAAUGCUUUGGCAAUUGGAUCUAUUAUGUAUGCAAUGCUUUAAAUAAGGCAUUAAUGUCAUUUACGCCUUAAACAUAAUAAGUAGAUAUCAAACAAAUCCAAGUGCAUCUCACUAUGAAAGUUGUAAAAGUGAUCCUUAAGUACUUAAGAAAAACUAGGGAUAUGUCUUGUCUAUGGUAGAGCCAAACCCCAAAUUUAGAGUUAUGUGAUACAAGCUUUCAAUCAGACAAAGAUGAUAGCAAAUCUCAAAGUGGCUAUAUUUUUACUAUAAAUGGUGAUUGGAUCUAUUAUAUAUGCAAUGCUUUGACAAUUGGAUCUAUUAUGUAUGUAAUGCUUUAAAUAAAGCCUUGAUGUCCCUUACGCCUUAAGCAUAAUAAGUAAAUAUCAAACAAAUCUAGGUGAAUCUCACUGUGAAGGUUGUAAAAGCGAUCCUUAAGUACUUAAGAAGAAUUAGGGAUAUGUCUUGUCUAUAGUGGAGCCAAACCCCAAGUUUAGAGUUAUGUUACCUUCCCAUAUCUUAUAUGGUGUCUUGUUAAUGAAUUUAAAUGGAACUCUAUUUGAAAGAUAAACAGUUAUUUUAAGUGUAUAAUCCCAAAAAGGUAUUGGAAGUUUUGAAUUACUCAUCAUAAAUCAAACCAUGUCCAACAAGGUUUUAUUUUUCCUUUAAAAACUCCAUUGAGUUGUGGUGUUCUAAGUGGAGUCCAUUGAGAGAGAAUCUCAUUCUCCUUUAGAUAGCCUAAAAACUUAUGACUUAAGUACUCUCCACCUUUAUCUGAUCUUAAUGUUAGGAUGUUUUUGCCAAAUUAUUUCUUAACCCCUCUUUUAAAAUUUUUAAACUUUUCAAAGGAUUUAGAUUCGUGUUUCAUUAGAUAUUUGCUUUUCAUUAGAUACACAUAACCAUGCCUUAAAUGGUCAAUAAUGAAUGUAAUGAAUUAAGAGUACAUCCUAUAGCUUUUUUAUUCAUUGGAUCACAUACAUCUGAAUGUAUAAAUCCAAGCUCAUUCUUUUUUUCCAAUAACAGGUUAUUUGGUCAUCUUACCAAGUAAACAUGGCUUAAAAGUUUCAUAUGAUUCAUAAUCAAAAGGAUCAAGGUAUCCUAGUUUAUGUAACUUUGUGAUUCUUGUUUUAUUAAUAUGAUCAAGUUUACAAUGCCACAAUUAAGAUUGAUUUGGCUUAUCCAAUUUAGGUUUCUAGAUAUUUAUGUUGAGAAAAUCAUUAUUUAAUAUAAGAACAAACAAAUCAUUAUCAUAAGUUCCCAUGCCAUAAAAGAUAUUAUUUAGAUAAAAAGAACAAUAAUUGUCCUUAAUAUUAAAUGAAAGACCAUCAUUCAUACGUAAACAUGAAACUGAAAUGAUGUUUCUAGUAAUUAUUGGAACAUAAUAAAAAUCUUUGAAUUCUAAAAUUAAACCAAAAGGUAAAGGCACAUAAUAAAUCCCCACGACAUAUGCAACAACACUUGUUCCAUUUUUAACUCGUAAAGAGACUUUCACUUUUUUAAAGAUAUACUAUUUUUUAGUCCUUGUUUGUCAUUACAUAAAUGAGAAUCACAUACGGUAUCUAACACCCAAGAAGAUGUGUUAAAAAAAAUAUAUUGGUAUUAAUCAUAAACAUACCCGAAAAAAAGUCUUUUUAGACAUCUUGUCCUUCAAGCUUGUUAAGUAAACCUGACAAUUCCUCUUUUAAUGACUUUCCUUACUACAAUGGUAACAUGCACCUUUAUCUUUCUUGAUGUCACCAAUAAGGUUGACAACCUUAGAUGUCUUUUUUUUUUUCUUUUUGGCCAUCUUGUUUUUUUUUUUUCUUCUUAGGUGACUUAUUGUUGGUCUUAAAUUAAAAAACUAAAAGAGUAUUAAGCUUUUAAUUCUUUAUGGAUUUUUUGACAGUGUCUAGUAUAUUCAUUAAUUGUGGUAAUGGCACUUUUAUCGGAUGUAUAAUAAGGUUCAUUACAAAUUAUGAAAAACUUAUAGGAAGAAAUGAUAGGAUCAAGUCAAUGCUUAACUCAUGAUCCAUCAUAAAAGUUUCUCAAUCUAAUUGAUCAUCUUAAGACAAUACACUUUAAUUGAAGUACUUUUAAACAUUAUUGUUCGAAACAAUUCUUUAGAGGUCUUGAGCCUUUUUGUCUAUCAUUGUUUGUUAAACAAUUCUCUAAGGUGGAAAAUGAUAUUCAGAGUAUCUAUAUUCUUAUAUUGCCUUUGUAACUUGGGGAUCAUACUAGUUACCAUAAUGCAUGCAAUUUGUUCAACAUGAUCUUGUGGGUUUCCUAAACCCUCGAAACUACUUCAACAUUAGCAUCUAGUUCCUUAGGAAUCGACUUAUUAAGAACAUAAAGUAUUUUCUCUUACUUUAGCAAAAGUUUAACAUUGCAAUACAAAGCUUUAAAGUUAGGCCCAAUGAGCUUAUUAGCAUUAAGUAUGCUACGAAGUGACAAGUUAUUACUCAUUUUUCUAGCAACCUAUAAAAUAUGAAUUAGUCAUAUUGUUCGAAUCCAAUAUAGAUAAGGUUUAAGCUUAUAUAUUGGUUUCUUCCACUAUUUUCUUCAAUUUAAUAAGACCCACCACUAAUUCAAAAAAAUCAUAUUUUUUUAGUGGGUUAAAAUCCCUUUUAGUUUAUCACAACCUUGAGUUUACCCAAUAAGCUAUGAUAAGUAAAUUAGGUAUCUAACUUUGCUUAUCAAUUACAUCCAAUGUGACUUUUAGAUCAAUUUGAUGAAAACUCCUUGUCUAAUCACAUCUUAUGUGAUUCACUUAAUCAUUGACUCUAACUUUAUAUGAUCAUAAUUUUAUUCAUCCAAAUCAUAUAUGCAAGUUAAGUCGGACCCAUUAAUCAUAACAUAAACAUAUUUCAAAUAAAAAGUGCCAUGAGUUUAUCCAACAAGCCCUCAUUAGUAAAAACUCAUUUUGAUAUGAUAAUGGAAGGCAACCAUUCAUGUUGUGAAACAUGUACUUAAUGUUUUGAUGAAGGAUUUUAUUCAAUUUAGGUCUCAUAUAGAAUGCAUAAAAUUCAACAUAUAUCACAUACAUAUAACCUUAUCAUACUUUUUGCAAACAUACAUGACAUUUAUCAUACUAAAAUAUAUAUAAAAUCUAGCAUGUACAUUCACCCAUUCAACAUAGCACACAAUAUUUAUCUCAUAAUUAACAUGUAUACUACAUUCAUUCAUUAUCAUAGCAUGCAUGGUAUUUAUCUUAUAAUUAGCAUACAUACUACUUUGUACAUCAAUAACCAACAUGUUUGAUUCAAGUUUAUGAUCUUACAAUUAUUUCUUUUGAAUCAAAUCUAUAUCAUAGAUCAAAUAAUAACUAACUUAUUGUGACACAAGGUAUAGACAUAUUGUAACAAAGUGGCCGAAUGCGUCUAUUUUAUGUUUUAAGAGUUGUAAUUUGCAAUCAUGUUUCCUAAACUAUUAAAGAAUCAUAAUUUAACUUGGAAAUUAAUAUAAUGUGUUUAUUUCAGUUCUAAAAUAUUAUAAUUAUCAAUUAAUUAUAUCCAAAGCAAAUUACCAACAUUAGGUAUUCUUAGUCAUACUAGAUUUAGUGGUGAAAUAGUUUUCUUGUUCAUUAGAAGUUCUAAACAAUUUAGGAGUUUUGCUCUAAUUUGGACUUUUAAUGAAAUUUAAUUUGUUAUGUUCUAAACCAUUUAGGAAUCCAAAUUUAACAAGAAGCAUUACUACAAUAAGGUUUGUCCGAAUCCUAUUUCAAAAUAGGAAAGUGUCUUAUAACUAGGGUUUUCCCUUAUAGAAAGCUUGCUUGUUUUGGGUUUGGCUGCCCGUGCCACACCCAAGUGCCAUCAAUCAAGAGUUCUAAACUCUUUGACAUGCUUUCCUAUGCCUGUGGUUAUAAUCUUUAAACCACAAGCAAUAAUUACUAAGGUUUUGAGAAAAAUAAUUCAUUUUACUUGAUUAAAAAAGCAAAUCUUAAAAUCUUGAUGAACAAGUAUUCUAAGAUUCCCAAUCUUGAUUACCAAGUUAAUUUUCAUCAAAAUUUUAGUAAAUAGGUUUUUUAAGGUCCUUAACAAUUAAGAGUACCAACCACAUCAAGAAAACCUAAUACCAUAAUCAAAUUAUGGUUUUAUGCAUCUUAAACCUUUCGCAUAUAUGCUAGCUCUAGAGACAAAUUUUUGGACAGAUAUUGUCAUCAAUUUUUAAAUGACCAAAUCAACUCCAAAGAUUCUGGAACUUUAACAAAAUCAUAAUAAAUAUAUCUAUUUUCAUGUGUUAAAAUUUCAUAGCAAAUUGAUAACCCAAGAGUGAGAAAUAAUUUUCAUAAAAUCACUUUUAUAGAAUUUUCUUGUUUAUGUAUAGAUUGCAAGCAAAUAAUUUAUAAGACAUGCAAACAAUGUUCAUAAAUCAUAAAUUGAUACCUAAUCAUCUUAAGGCGUUAUGCUUUGAUAUUCUAAAAGAAUCAAAUCAAAACAAAUAGAAAAAGUUAUUUUUUAGUUGUUUUCUCACAAUGGAUAAAUGUAAACAAAACAAUUUUUUAUAUCAAGAACAACCAUAUAACUUUGAGUUUGUAUAAUCUAAAUCAACUUGACUUUGAUACCAUUUUUGGAACUUGAACAUUGAGAUCAAAAUAUAAAGUAGUGGAAUUUAAAAUUUUUCAUCUCCCAAAGAAUAAGGAUCAAGUUGAUAAGAUCAUACAAAACAGUAUACGUGUUUUGGCAUAAACAAAUUUUCCUACUUUGCUUGUGAUGGCUUUAAGAAAAUUCAAGAACCUUCAAACUCAGUUGUAGCAAACCAGUAGCUAUUCAAUUGUACAACCUCUAAUAAUAAUCCACACAAAAAGAUGAAAAAACUUUCACUAAGGGAUGGGAGAAUUUUAUGAGUUUAACAUUUUUUAUUUAAUCCUAUCAAACUA